AAUCAACGCUGGCGGCGUGCCUCAGACAUGCAAGUCGAACGAGAAGGCCCCUUCGGGGGCCGGACAGUGGCGCACGGGUGAGUAACACGUGGGUAAUUUACCUUCGGGUGGGGAACAACAGCCGGAAACGGCUGCUAAUACCGCAUAAUGCAGCGGCACCUAAUGGUGACAGUUGUUAAAGCGGGGGAUCGUAAGACCUCGCGCCUGAAGAGAAGCCCGCGGCGGAUUAGGUAGUUGGUGAGGUAAUGGCUCACCAAGCCUGCGAUCUGUAGCCGGCCUGAGAGGGCGGUCGGCCACACUGACACUGAACAACGGGUCAGACUCCUACGGGAGGCAGCAGUCGGGAAUUUUGGGCAAUGGGCGCAAGCCUGACCCAGCAACGCCGCGUGAAGGAUGAAGUUUUUCGG
rnacentral:rRNA from 1 species